rnacentral:rRNA from 1 species
UAGGGAAUCUUCGGCAAUGGGGGGAACCCUGACCGAGCAACGCCGCGUGAGUGAAGAAGGUUUUCGGAUCGUAAAGCUCUGUUGUUAAGGAAGAACGAGUGUGAGAAUGGAAAGUUCAUACUGUGACGGUACUUAACCAGAAAGGGACGGCUAACUACGUGCCAGCAGCCGCGGUAAUACGUAGGUCCCGAGCGUUGUCCGAUUUAUUGGGCGUAAAGCGAGCGCAGGCGGUUAGAUAAGUCUGAAGUUAAAGGCAGUGGCUCAACCAUUGUAGGCUUUGGAAACUGUUUAACUUGAGUGCAGAAGGGGAGAGUGGAAUUCCAUGUGUAGCGGUGAAAUGCGUAGAUAUAUGGAGGAACACCGGUGGCGAAAGCGGCUCUCUGGUCUGUAACUGACGCUGAGGCUCGAAAGCGUGGGGAGCGAACAGG